AUUGAACGCUGGCGGCAGGCCUAACACAUGCAAGUCGAACGGUAACAGGAAGCAGCUUGCUGCUUUGCUGACGAGUGGCGGACGGGUGAGUAAUGUCUGGGAAACUGCCCGAUGGAGGGGGAUAACUACUGGAAACGGUAGCUAAUACCGCAUAACGUCGCAAGACCAAAGAGGGGGACCUUAGGGCCUCUUGCCAUCGGAUGUGCCCAGAUGGGAUUAGCUAGUAGGUGGGGUAACGGCUCACCUAGGCGACGAUCCCUAGCUGGUCUGAGAGGAUGACCAGCCACACGGGAACUGAGAAACGGUCCAGACUCCUACGGGGGGCAGCGGGGGGGAAUAUUGACCAAGGGGCGGAAGCCUGAGGCAGCCAGGCCGGGGGUAAGAAGAAGGCCUUCGGGUUGUAAAGUACUUUCAGGGGGGGGGAAGGGGGUAAAGUUAAUACCUUUGCUCAUUGGCUUGACCCGCAGAAGAAGCCCCGGCAAACUCCGG
rnacentral:rRNA from 1 species